rnacentral:rRNA from 1 species
UGGGGAAUUUUGCGCAAUGGGGGAAACCCUGACGCAGCAACGCCGCGUGGAGGAUGAAGCCCCUUGGGGUGUAAACUCCUUUCGACCGGGAAAAUUAUGAUGGUACCGGUGGAAGAAGCACUGGCUAACUCUGUGCCAGCAGCCGCGGUAAUACAGAGGGUGCGAGCGUUGUUCGGAAUUAUUGGGCGUAAAGGGUCCGUAGGCGGUGUGGCAAGUCGGGAGUGAAAUCUCUGGGCUUAACCCAGAGGCUGCUUCCGAAACUGCCAUGCUAGAGUGUGAGAGAGGCGAGUGGAAUUACGGGUGUAGCGGUGAAAUGCGUAGAUAUCCGUAGGAACAUCCGAGGCGAAGGCGGCUCGCUGGAUCACAACUGACGCUGAGGGACGAAAGCUAGGGGAGCAAACAGGAUUAGAUACCCUGGUAGUCCUAGCCCUAAACCAUCAGGACUUGGGGUGUGCCCUGUACGGGGCACGUCCCGUAGCUAACGCGUUAAGUCCUGCGCCUGGGGAGUACGGUCGCAAGGCUG